rnacentral:rRNA from 1 species
UACGUAGGGCGCAAGCGUUGUCCGGAAUUAUUGGGCGUAAAGAGCUCGUAGGCGGCUUGUCACGUCGGGUGUGAAAGCCCGGGGCUUAACCCCGGGUCUGCAUUCGAUACAGGCUAGCUAGAGUGUGGUAGGGGAGAUCGGAAUUCCUGGUGUAGCGGUGAAAUGCGCAGAUAUCAGGAGGAACACCGGUGGCGAAGGCGGAUCUCUGGGCCAUUACUGACGCUGAGGAGCGAAAGCGUGGGGAGCGAACAGG